CUUGAUCUCCUUUUGUACACAUGCUCUCGAUGUAUUUUUAUAAUAUAAGUACAAAAUACAUGAAGUGAGUGUUUUCUUUAAUUGCAGCCUGUGAGUGAAGGGAUUUGGUUUGUUUUUGGGGGUGGUUCGAGAGUUUAGUGUCCGGAUGUUUCCAGCAGCAGUACAAAUCUGACACACGUAUCAAGAAUCAGGGGAGGAAAACAGGCAGUGAGGAAGGAGUCGCAAGAGUUAAAUCAGAAGGAAUCUGACACAGUAAAAUUCAGAUCAAUAAGAAAGACUGACGCUAUUGAUAAAGAGUUGCAUGAGGAGGAAUAGAAAUCAGACACACUAAGGUUCAGUCAAGUUAUAAGGACAGCAUGUUACGUGACAAUCUCAGCACGGGGAAAGUUCAAUCCCAGCUUGACAGCAUUGAUGUAGAUGUUUAAAUUUGCCGCUUGAAUUGGUGCUGUGUGGUUACUUUACCAUUUACAAUUACAAUGGCUUAUAAUUCAGUUUUAUAUGUUUAUUAUUGUCCCAAUAUGACCAUAGUGUAAUAUGUGACUAGUUACUGCAUAUUAUUAGAAGUGGAAGAAUAUUUUGUGAAUGCGUAAAUGUGGUGCGCACUGCUACACGAGAGUGGUUGUGCUCGUGCCACGUCACCACGUCUGCAGUAGCCAAGGAGGGCCAGUGGAAGGGUACGCAUACUUUGCUGCCUUAAUUAAUCUGGAUAUUCGCAGAACGUGACGGUGAACUUGACAAUGGCCCCCUCUGUGUAUCGGUAUAUGGGUGGUGCCUGCCAGCAAGUGCCGAGGAGGUCUAGCAGCCUGUUCAUAUGGGCUGGGAAGGGUUAUAAUCUUGAAACAACCCACGACAGCUAAUCAGUCUCAAGAAUUGAAAUCCAGCCAGGCGUUAGGUGCUUCAUUCACUUGAAGCACUGAGUGAGCACGCAGCACGGGCCCCGACACACUUCAUGCGUGAAGAAAGGCAGCUAAUUGCUCUGUAUUUGGAAGGGUUUUUUUUUUUUUUUUGAAAGCUAAAGGUAUCUAAUGUACUCUAAUGAGGCAUUGUAAUUUGUGGCGGUGUAACUAGAUACGUGGAAUUUAAUAAAUAAUCAGAUACCUUUCCGUCAUGACUCCAGACUGUGGAACUAUUACGACAGUACGAAGUGUCCUAUAUAAGAGGGUUUGUAUACCGACAGCUGAACCGUUGAGGUAAUAUUCUGGAUGAACCGGCUGAAGAGGUGACUUGAAGCAAUGAACUGAAGCGGUCGGGUCUCCUGUGGGACGACAACAAUGUUGCUGGUGUGGCUGAGCACGGCUGUGGUGGCGCGGCGUUGUCUGGUGCAAUGGUGUGCGAGGAGCGGCCAGUGUUUGGGCAAGACGCUGGUACCGUGCCUGGAGGAGGCUGCCGUGACCCACACUCCUGGACGAUUUCGGCAACCACACAUCUGACACGUGUUGGAAAUCGGAAAAAUAAAAAUUGUAUUUUUUUUUUUUUUUCUGAAGUACUGGAACAUAGUCUGUGCAAAGCAGGGAUUUGGCGAUGCUCCAAAUUUCACCUCGUGUCGCUUGUUUGAGUUUAAUGUCUGUGAUCCAGGAAUUCUUGACAGCCCCAUGUCUCAAGGAGAGGUAAGGCAGAGUUGUUUUGCUGCCCAUCUCCGAAGAGUCAAGAGGCCGUGAAGCUGCGGAUCCGCAAACCUGCUCUUCCAACUUCACUGUUUCUCUCUCUCUCUCUCUCUCUCUCUCUCUCUCUCUCUCUCUCUCUCUCUCUCUCUCUCUCUCUCUCUCUCUCUCUCAUGAAAUUUAAGGCCCAUCUUCCCUUUUGUACAUCUAGAAGUAGCAGUAGUAGUACAAUAAAUAAUGUUUGUUU